UGGUGCAUGGCCGUUCUUAGUUGGUGGUGUGAAUUGUCUGGUUAAUUCCGUUAACGAACGAGACCUCGACCUGCUAAAUAGUUCAACGAACCUUCUGGGUUCGGAUGCGACUUCUUAGAGGGACUAUCGGUGUGUAGCCGAUGGAGGUUCGAGGCAAUAACAGGUCUGUGAUGCCCUUAGAUGUUCUGGGCCGCACGCGCGCUACACUGAUGCGAUCAUCGAGCUUACAACCUUGACCGAGAGGUCUGGGUAAACUUUUCAAAACGCAUCGUGCUUGGGAUAGAUUAUUGUAAUUUUUAAUCUUGAACGAGGAAUUCCUAGUAGACGCAAGUCAUCAACUUGCAUCGAUUACGUCCCUGCCCUUUGUACACACCGCCCGUCGCUACUACCGAUUGAACGCUUUAAUGAGCUCUGAGGAUUGGGACUUCUCUUUGGGUUUCCUUAGAGCUGCAUCUGAGAAUCAGCGCAAAUUUGAGCGUUUAGAGGAAGUAAAAGUCGUAACAAGGUUUCCGUAGGUGAACCUGCGGAAGGAUCAUUAACACGAAUCCACGUAUCAACCCUUGUGAACCCGUUUUUGUCGAUCCCGUCUCUGUCGCGAGGGGCUGCUCGGUGCUAAUGAUAGAGAGGCCGUCUUGGCCUCUAGCACCUUCAGCCCUGGCACUGACCCCGAUGGAUCGUCACCUCUUUUCUAUCAUUGACCCUUCUUUAUCAACCCCUUGUACUAUCUAUGUACUGAACCAUUUUUCUAUCCAGCUUAGUCCUCGUGGCGGAGCGGAAGAAACAAUAUACGAAACUAAGAACAACUCUUAGCAACGGAUAUCUUGGUUCCCGCAACGAUGAAGAACGCAGCGAAAUGCGAUACGUAAUGCGAAUUGCAGAAUUCAGUGAAUCAUCAAAUCUUUGAACGCAAAUUGCACUUCCGGGAUACGCCUGGAAGUAUGCUUCUUUCAGUAUCGGUUCUAUCUAAUCUCGCUGCGUACUUAAUUCACUUAGGUGCGUGGGCGGAGAAUGAGAGUCGGACCUCACGGUCCAGUCUCUUGAAGGAUAGAGAGUUUCACACUCCUAGUCUCCUGCCCUCACGGGCGUCCCUUUCGGACUGGACUAGUUACGUGGUUAAUCGUUUCACAACGAAUCUACGUCAACUACUUUGUGCGCCAGACCUUUUGUGGAUUUGGGACAUGGAUGCGAAGCGCUUGGACCUCCUUUCGAGGACCAUAACCCCACCCUUUAACAUUUGAUCUGAAAUGAAGUAAGAGGACCCGCUGAAUUUAAGCAUAUUAUUAAGCGGAGGAAAAGAAACUAACAAGGAUUCCCCUAGUAACGGCGAGUGAAGCGGGAAGAGCUCAAACUGAAAACCGGAAAACUUCGUAGCUUUUCGGAUUGUAAUCUAGAGAGAUUCAGACAGCGCGUGACCUCGGUAUAAGUCUUUUGGAACAAGGCAUCAUUGAGGGUGAGAAUCCCGUUCAUGACCGAGAGUUCGCCGCGUACGUCGGGUCUUCAAAGAGUCGAGUUGGUCGGGACUCCAGCUCUAAAUGGGUGGUAAAUUUCAUCUAAAGCUAAAUAUUGGCGGGAGAC
rnacentral:rRNA from 1 species